rnacentral:rRNA from 1 species
UGCAAGUCGAGCGAACCUUUCCAAGGGGUAACCCGAAGUUAGGUUAGCGGCGGACGGGUGAGGAAUUCAUGGAUAACGUACCCCAGACACGGGGAUAGCGGCGGGGCUUCGGUCCCUUUGCGAAAGUGCCGGUAAUACCCGAUAAUCCGGAGGUGUCGCAUGACAUCUCCGGCAAAGCUCCGACGGUCUGGGAGCGGUUCAUGUCCUAUCAGCUUGUUGGUAAGGUAACGGCUUACCAAGGCAUUGACGGGUACCGGGCGUGAGAGCGUGGCCCGGCACAUCGGAACUGAGACACGGUCCGGACACCUACGGGUGGCUGCAGCAACGAAUAUUCCGCAAUGGACGAAAGUCUGACGGAGCGACGCCGCGUGCAGGAAGAAGUCCCUCGGGAUGUAAACUGCUGUCAGGGGUUAGGAAUACUGACCAGCCCCACAGGAAGCACUGGCUAACUCCGUGCCAGCAGCCGCGGUAAUACGGAGAGUGCAAGCGUUGUUCGGAAUUACUGGGCUUAAAGAGCGUGUAGGCGGGACGUCAGGUGCCGUGUGAAAGCCCCGGGCUCAACCCGGGAAUUGCAUGGCAAACCGGCGUUCUUGAGGCAGGUAGAGGUGACUGGAACGACUGGUGGAGCGGUGAAAUGCGUAGAUAUCAGUUGGAACGCCUGAGGCGAAAGCGAGUCACUGGGCCUGUCCUGACGCUGAGACGCGAAAGCGUGGGUAGCGAACAGGAUUAGAUACCCUGGUAGUCCACGCCGUAAACGAUGCGCACUAGGUAUGA